AGUAGCUGAAGCAAUCUACCAGUAGAACCAAACACUGCUGCUGGAGGACUUGGCCACCAAGACUGACCAGGGCUGGCUCCUUAAGCUGAGGAAUGACUUCUGAGUGAGUCCUGGAAGCAGUGGAGAGAGCAUUGGCUCUGGACCCAAUAUUCAAAUCACACGUCUAUACCAUGUGUAUGUCUGUGGGCUGUCCCUCAUCCCUGAAAUAUGCCUUUUCUCUGCCUCCUCUCUUGACCCACCCUAGUACACCC